rnacentral:rRNA from 1 species
UACAGAGGUCUCAAGCGUUGUUCGGAUUCAUUGGGCGUAAAGGGUACGUAGGUGGCGCUGUAAGUCGGGUGUGAAAUUUCGGAGCUUAACUCCGAAACUGCAUUCGAUACUGCGGUGCUUGAGGACUGGAGAGGAGACUGGAGUUCAUGGUGUAGCAGUGAAAUGCGUAGAGAUCAUGAGGAAGACCAGUGGCGAAGGCGGGUCUCUGGACAGUUCCUGACACUGAGGCACGAAGGCCAGGGGAGCAAACGGG